CAGUAGCCACGGUAAAACGUAGGUGGCAAGCGUUGUCCGGAAUUAUUGGGCGUAAAGGGCUCGCAGGCGGUUUCUUAAGUCUGAUGUGAAAGCCCCUGGCUCAACCGGGGAGGGUCAUUGGAAACUGGGAAACUUGAGUGCAGAAGAGGGGAGUGGAAUUCCACGUGUAGCGGUGAAAUGCGUAGAGAUGUGGAGGAACACCAGUGGCGAAGGCGACUCUCUGGUCUGUAACUGACGCUGAGGAGCGAAAGCGUGGGGAGCGAACAGGAUUAGAUACCCCCGUAGUCCCUGUCUCUUAUAA
rnacentral:rRNA from 1 species